rnacentral:rRNA from 1 species
AAAUAGACUACCCUGGUAGUCCACGCCGUAAACGAUGGAUACUAGCUGUUUGAGCGCAAGUUUGAGUGGCUAAGCGAAAGUGAUAAGUAUCCCACCUGGGGAGUACGGGCGCAAGCCUGAAACUCAAAGGAAUUGACGGGGGCCCGCACAAGCGGUGGAGCAUGUGGUUUAAUUCGAUGAUACGCGAGGAACCUUACCAGGGCUUAAAUGUAGAUUGACGUAUUUGGAAACAGAUAUUUCUUCGGACAAUUUACAAGGUGCUGCAUGGUUGUCGUCAGCUCGUGCCGUGAGGUGUCAGGUUAAGUCCUAUAACGAGCGCAACCCCUGUUGUUAGUUGCCAGCGAGUAAUGUCGGGAACUCUAGCAAGACUGCCAGUGUAAACUGUGAGGAAGGUGGGGAUGACGUCAAAUCAUCACGGCCCUUACGUCCUGGACCACACACGUGCUGCAAUGGCCGGUACAGAGAGCAGCCACUUAGCGAUAAGGAGCGAAUCUAUAAAGCCGGUCACAGUUCGGAUCGGAGU